AUACAGUUUAUAUUUUAGAUUUUUUUUAGUAAUUUAAAUUUUAUUUCUGAAUCCCUGUUACAGUCAAAACUAAGGAGCCAGGGGACAGCUCAGUCCGAAGAUAUACAGUAAUUUAAUGGUAUACAGGUGGAAUUUUUUACGAAACAAGACAAUCCAUU